AUACAUGCAAGUCGAGCGGACAGAUGGGAGCUUGCUCCCUGAUGUUAGCGGCGGACGGGUGAGUAACACGUGGGUAACCUGCCUGUAAGACUGGGAUAACUCCGGGAAACCGGGGCUAAUACCGGAUGGUUGUUUGAACCGCAUGGUUCAAACAUAAAAGGUGGCUUCGGCUACCACUUACAGAUGGACCCGCGGCGCAUUAGCUAGUUGGUGAGGUAACGGCUCACCAAGGCAACGAUGCGUAGCCGACCUGAGAGGGUGAUCGGCCACACUGGGACUCGAGACACGGCCCAGACUCCUACGGGAGGCAGCAGUAGGGAAUCUUCCGCAAUGGACGAAAGUCUGACGGAGCAACGCCGCGUGAGUGAUGAAGGUUUUACGGAUCGUAAAGCUCUGUUAGUUAGGGAAGAACAAGUACCGUUCGAAUAGGGUCGGUACCUUGACGGUACCUAACCAGAAAGCCACGGCUAACUAGCGUGCCAGCAGCCGCGGUAAGUACGUAGGUGGCAAGCGUUGUCCGGAAUUAUUGGGCGUAAAAUGGCUCGGCAGGCGGUUUCUUAAGUCUGAUGUGAAAGCCCCCGGCUCAACCGGCGGAGGGGUCAUUGGAAACUGGGGAACUUGAGUGCAGAAGAGGAGAGUGGACUUCCACGUGUAGCGGUGAAUGCGUAGAGAUGUGGAGGAACACCAGUGGCGAAGGCGACUCUCUGGUCUGUAACUGACGAUGAGCGAGCGACAGCGUGGGGAGUGAACAUGAUCAGAUACCUUGGUAGUCCACGCCGUAAAUGAUGAGUGUUAAGUGUUAGGUGGUCUCCGCUCUUUAGUGCUGCAGCUACCGCAUUAACCACUCCGCUUGGGGAGUGCGGUCGCAAGACUGAAACUCAAAGGAAUUGACGGGGGCCCGCACCAGCGGUGCAGCAUGUGGUUUAAUUCGAAGCAACGCGAAGAACCUCAGCAGGUCUUGACAUCCUCUGACAAUCCUAGAGAUAGGACGUCCCCUUCGGGGGCAGAGCGACAGGUGGUGCAUGGUUGUCGUCAGCUCGUGUCGUGAGAUGUUGUGUUAAGUCCCGCAACGAGCGCAACCCUUGAUUUUAGUUGCCAGCAUUCAGUUGGGCACUAUAAGGUGACUGCCGGUGACAAACCGGAGGAAGGUGGGGAUGACGUCAAAUCAUCAUGCCCCUUAUGACCUGGGCUACACACGUGCUACAAUGGACAGAACAAAGGGCAGCGAAACCGCGAGGUUAAGCCAAUCCCACAAAUCUGUUCUCAGUUCGGAUCGCAGUCUGCAACUCGACUGCGUGAAGCUGGAAUCGCUAGUAAUCGCGGAUCAGCAUGCCGCGGUGAAUACGUUCCCGGGCCUUGUACACACCGCCCGUCACACCACGAGAGUUUGUAACACCCGAAGUCGGUGAGGUAACCUUUUAGAGCCAGCCGC
rnacentral:rRNA from 1 species